ACGACUCUCGGCAACGGAUAUCUCGGCUCUCGCAUCGAUGAAGAACGUAGCGAAAUGCGAUACUUGGUGUGAAUUGCAGAAUCCCGUGAACCAUCGAGUCUUUGAACGCAAGUUGCGCCCGAUGUCAUCAGGCUGAGGGCACGUCUGCCUGGGCGUCACGC
rnacentral:rRNA from 1 species